AUACGUAGGGGGCAAGCGUUGUCCGGAAUUACUGGGCGUAAAGGGUGCGUAGGCGGCCAAACAAGUCAGAUGUGAAAUACCCGGGCUUAACCCGGGGGGUGCAUUUGAAACUGUAUGGCUUGAGUGUAGGAGAGGAAAGCGGAAUUCCUAGUGUAGCGGUGAAAUGCAUAGAUAUUAGGAGGAACACCAGUGGCGAAGGCGGCUUUCUGGACUACAACUGACGCUGAAGCACGAAAGCGUGGGGAGC
rnacentral:rRNA from 1 species